UACGUAGGGCGCAAGCGUUGUCCGGAAUUAUUGGGCGUAAGGAGCUCGUAGGCGGCUUGUCAAGUCGGAUGUGAAAGCCCGAGGCUUAACCUCGGGUCUGCAUUCGAUACGGGCUAGCUAGAGUGUGGUAGGGGAGAUCGGAAUUCCUGGUGUAGCGGUGAAAUGCGCAGAUAUCAGGAGGAACACCGGUGGCGAAGGCGGAUCUCUGGGCCAUUACUGACGCUGAGGAGCGAAAGCGUGGGGAGCGAACAGG
rnacentral:rRNA from 1 species